rnacentral:rRNA from 1 species
UACAGAGGGUGCAAGCGUUAAUCGGAAUUACUGGGCGUAAAGCGUGCGUAGACGGUUACAUAAGUCAGAUGUGAAAGCCCCGGGCUCAACCUGGGAAUUGCAUUUGAGACUGUGUAGCUAGGGUGCGGAAGAGGGAAGCGGAAUUUCCGGUGUAGCGGUGAAAUGCGUAGAUAUCGGAAGGAACACCAGUGGCGAAAGCGGCUUCCUGGUCCAGCACCGACGUUCAGGCACGAAAGCGUGGGGAGCAAACGGG